AAUUCAUGCCAAGAGUUUGAUGCGUCUAUGGAUUGCAGAAGGGUUUGUGGAAAUAAUUGAAGGAAAGAGAUCAGAGGAUACUGCAGAAGAAUAUUUGAUGGACCUAAUUGGCCGAAACCUGGUUAUGGUAAGUAAAAGCAGAUCCAUUGGUGGAGUCAAAACUUGUUACAUUCACGAUUUGAUAUUUGAGUUCUGUAAGGGCGAGGCGAAAGAAAAGAAUUUCCUUCAGGUCCUGCGAGGAUAUAAUGAGCUUUCUACCUUUAAUGAGCCUCCCAACUUACCUCGGUUGUCCAUUUACUCCAGUGGAGAAGAUUUUAUAAAGUCAAGGCUAUAAUUCUGGUCUGUGGAGCCGGGACCCCAUUGCGUGGAAAUGGAAUACAAUAAUUCCCAAUAAUUCUAUGAAACCGGCCCACCACUCAUCAAAGGUUCAGAUGCACUGAGCCCACCACUCGCAUAUGUCUGCUAAUACAACUUAUAUAUUCCACUUUAUAUUCCUCUCUAUUAUACGUUUAUAAUAGAGAGGGACUGAUCCGUCUGGACCAUUCUUGGUAGGGAUUAAUCCUACCUUUAAUUUAGUUAUUCUACAUGCUUUGGACCGUAAAAUCAUCGAAGUGUCUCAAAUCCCCUAAGCUACAGUUAUUGUGAAUGAAAGUCGACUAAAACAAAGGCUUUUCCUCGUACGAACGAAUAAUUUAUCUUCUGUUAAUGAGAAGCUAGCAUACAGCUCCUGUGUGUUUAGUUUAAUUUAUAAGUGUGUGUGUAUUAAUUUCCGAUUGUGGAAAAAGAGAAGCUAGCAUACAGCUCCAUGUUAUUCCUAAACUUGCACGAAUAGUGUGUGAAACCAUACUACUAUUUUGAAAGAAUUAGAGUGCAAAACGGUAGAAUUAACUACUUUGUUUUGGCAGUUCAAGCUUUCAAGGCCUGGCUCAGUUGUACUUAUUUAUAUUCAACUGAAAGAAUCCAUUAAACUAAAACCUCUAAUGUCAUUUUACUUUUUCCAAAGCAACAAAAAUGAAAAUUGUUAUUUCAUAGAAUUUAUGUAUGUAAUAAUAGGAUGUGGCUAUAUGGAGUAAAAAUGCUUAAAUUUUUCAAAGAAACAAUCAAUUUAUAAAGAUUAGGGUAAAACAAGUCUGAAUUGAGCAAUUGGUUAAAUUUUUACGCUUUUUCAGUGUGGGUGCAGGGACCUUUGCUAAUGGAAAAUACCAGAGUGGUCCUUCUCAACUCCAAUAUGAGUAUGAAAUAGUCCAAAAAUAAUAAACUUGUCAAUGAAAACAUCUUUAAUCUACUAAACACAAGAUGACUUUAUGAUAAUUCCAACAUUUUCUCUUUUGCCUUGCUGAUCUUUUGUUUCUUACUCUGUUUGUUUGUUAAACAAUUGAGUAUCUAAUUUCUUUUCUUCACUACCCUACAAAAAAAUAAUAAUAUAAAAUAAAAUGAAAGAAGAGUAAAUUUGAUGGAAGAAAGACUUGUUGGCCCUGGGGUGAGAUUUGUUUCUCCUUUACCUGUACUAAUAUUUGAGAGUGACAUUGAGGAAAAUCCCUGCAUAAGAGUAGACAAGUAUUUGAGGCUGAGAUCCUUCGAAUUUUUUUCAGAGUACAAAAUUAAUGUGUUUGUAAUACAACAUUGGUUAUCGAAAUGACCCCAAUAGAAAAUGUUUCAAGAAUGCAUUUUUUCUGUGAAAAGAAGUACUACUACUGAUUAGUAGAAAUUUUCACUUCUUUAAUCCAAUCAUCUUCUUUGACCGUUGUACGUAACAUUAAUGCACUCCGGUAACAUUAUUAAUUUUGCAAGUUAUCAUUUUACUGUUUAUAUUUAUUAUUUUAGAGUUUUACAUUUAUUAUUUUAAUGCAUAUCCUUAUACUAUAUAAGAAUGACUGUAGGGCAAAGAUUUCAACCGCAAGGAUAGAGCUAUUUUGGGAAUAUGAGAGUAUUUGAAGUGUAAUUUGAGUAUUGAAUAUGAAUCAUUAUAACUGAUUUGGUUUUUUUUUAUAAUUACUUAAAUGUUCUUUCAGACAUUUAAAGCUAUGGAUAAGUUUAACAUGUGACAAUAUUCGAUAUCCAAUUAAAUAUUCUGUACAAUUGAAUUCAGCUUGUGUUUUAGUGGAAUUAUAUAAAAAUCCUUUUAAUCAUUUAAUUGUAUUAACAUCUAAGUCUCUUAAUUUCUUAAAGCCUUUCUCAACAGUUAUUUGCAAACUUAUGAUAUAUAGAUGUUAAGGCACAAUUAAUGCUGAUUAGUAGAGAAGUUUGGUUUCUUGGCCGUUACCAUAGUAACCCCUAUCUAUUCAAAUUAAUUUCAUUUACCUAUAACUUUGUUCCACUACAAUCAUGUAGUAUAUUAAAUUCAGAUGUUGCUAUAUUAGCUACUACUCUUUCCCAUUUUGCAACAUCUUUCUCAAUAGGUUUGUUUUCUUUAGCUAAUCUACUUUUUUGGUUGUAAGAAAUUUGUAAUCUUGCAAGUUGUAUGUGCAAUACUUUUUUUAGUGUUUUAAUUCAAUUGCCCAUGUUAGAUAGACUUGAUAGGGAGGAGAUCACAUUUGUUAAUUGUUAUUUGUGGUUUAGAAUAAGUUUGUCAUCAUAAAUUUUUUCAUUAAUAGAUUGCAUCUACUUCUUUUGUUGUUUUAACUAUUAGUUACGGUAAUUUUCAAAUCAUUUGCUACUUUUUUGAUGAUUCCAUUUAGGCAAUUUUUCACUUCAUUUGAUUUGCCAAUAUGUUUAACUAUCUACUUAAAACUAUUUGGCUGCAAAUCUAAAGUAUGUACUUCAUUACUUUUAAUUGUUUUCUUAAAUUGAGUGGAUUAAGAUGUUUUAGUACUUUUUUUGAGGUAAUUAUUCAUCUAGAUUAGCGUGUUAGUUAUUGUAUAUCUUUGCAACUAGAUAAAAAACUGAUGUUUUGUGAUUGUAACCCCUAUCGAGAAGGAGGUGCUUUGCUAUAUGUCCUAAAUUAUAUAAUAAAUCAUAAUUGAUUGAUUUGUCAAUGUGAAACUUUCAUGAUGAUAUGUUCUUGGAAUCAAUAUAAAUCAAAGAAUUUGGCUUGUAAGAACCGAAAUUUCACUAGCAAUGAUUUCUUCAAGUAUGCUAAUUUUUCAAAUCUCACUUAUAUGAUAAGAUAAUGAGAUAGAUUGCCCUCAUAUCAAGAUCAAAUUCAAACUAAACGACAAAAUUUAACAUUCCCAAAAUGCAUGAGCAGAUAUAAGUAGAUCUUUUAUUCUAUUAGAUUAGACACAAAGUAAUUAAUCAUAUUUUAUAAUUAUAUUUUAUUGCAUAUUAUAUAUUUUGACUCAAUAUGUAAUUUAUGAUUUUUCUGUUUAAUAUCACAUAAUAAAAUUGUCAUACUUCAAUUCUUAUACUACAAAAUACUAAAUAAUAAUUAUUAACUAUCUUUACUUAUAGGUACUAAACUCCCGUGCAUGGCGCCGGCUUUUUCCACUAGUAUUUUAUGAUAUAAUUGACACUAGUAAUUGCAGACAUCCCCAAUUCUUUGCUUCCACAAUACCAAGGGUUGAAGAAGCCCUCAAUUUUUUUUUUCUCAUACUUUUUACUUUGUUGGCCAUGGUUAUUAAUCUCCAAGAUCAAUGGUCAUGAUUAUUAAAACGAGAUAAUUAGAAGAGAAAGUGAUCAAAUUUAGUGGUUUGCUGAAGAAAGAAAACAAUGGAAGAAAAUUAGAGAGCUAGCUUGAAGGUUCAUUAUAUUUUGAUCAUUUAUAUUGUGACGUGUCUUGGAUCAUUUAUAUUUUGAUGUCUCUUUGUUUUCUGUUCUUCCUAAUUAUAAAGUUUAACAUAUUAAACUGUGGAUGCUUGAAGCAAAAAAAAAAAACAUAUUAAAACAGGGACGCGCUAUAAGAGAAGGGGCGCCAUUGUGUGGGAAUGGAAUACAAUCAUUCCCAAUAAUUCUUUGAAAUCGGACCCACUACUUUAUUGAGGCAAUAAUUAGAUGUAUAAUAGAGAGGGGGCUGCUCCGUCUGGACCACUCUUGCUUUGGACAAUAAAAUCAUCAAAGAGUCUUAAAUCACUGCUGUUAUUGUCUUAAAACAUAGGCUUUUAUGUGAUCCCUAAUAUCAAAUUUCCCUAAUAAAAUGUUGAUGACAGAGUAAACUAAUCUUGUUUAUCAAUUUCCUCCAUUUGUAAUUAGUUCAAGAUAAAUUUGGAUUUUGGGUGCCUAGCUCCAAUUCCACCUAGUUGAAUAAUUGAUUAUCAUUGCCUGGGGUCCACCUUGAUGCCAAUUCCACCUAGUUGAAUGGUUGGUUGUCUCAAUACUCUUCUUCACCUUCUCACCAGAAACAAAUAAGCAAUUUUCAGGAAAGAAAUACUUUGCUAGCUCUGCAGUUAGUGAGAUUUGUUUCUCUCUUAGAAUUUGAGAGUGAAACUGACGAAAAUCCCUCCAAAAGAGAUGGAGAUGGCCUCCACUUGCAGCAUCGAUCGUGUCUUACUUGAUCUAGAGUCGCUCCGGAACAGCUCCGGAAUAUCCCUUUAUCUUCUUUACGAUGUUCGUGAAGCAAUCAAACACAUGAAAUUUCUCCAAACAUUUCUUAUGUGUGCUAGAAAGUGGAGCCAAAGCAAUGAUUUGUACUUGCAAUCUGACAAUGUUGUGAAGAGGGUAAGUCUUCCAUCUUUCCUAUCUUGUAUCGAAGAUACCUUUCACAAAUAUGAGGAGGAUAUUCACUCUCUUUCCCGUGAUAAGAUAUAUGUAGUGUUCCGCGAAAUUAGGAAACAGAUCAUAUUAUUCAAGCAAGAAAUCAUCCAAAUUUACUUUGCUUUGGCAACUUUGGCAAGCAACAGGUCAUUUCAAUCAAAUUCUUGUAUGACAGAUGAUGAACUGUUGGAAUUCAUAGACCUCAUCCUGCAAAAUCUAGCAGAUUUGACAAAUGACGAUUUGAAUUGGAAAAUUACUAAAUCGUCCAUUUAUGCUGCUUUGAGUGCUCAAGUCCAAGAUCUUGAAGCAAAGCUGACAUUCUUGAAAAGCUCCAUUCCCUUUGCCAAAAUGCGAGGAACCGCAGAUAUUCCUGCCUUGCUAUUGGCUCACUUUGAAGUGGUGGCUUUGACCGCAGCACGCCUCUCUUACAUGUGUUCUUUUUGGGAUGAUGAUGACGAAAAUAAAAAUCCUGGGUUCUACUCCAGAAGAACUUGCAGCUUCAAACUCCUCAGCAUGAGAGCGGUUGAUUUUCAUGUCUACGAGAUUUAUAAGGAAGUACUUGCAGCUUCAAACUCCUCAGCAUCAUUACAUACAGCAGUGAUGGAUGAGCGGAUAUUGAACAACUUCAACGAUUCUCUGAUAGGACGUCUCUGGGAGUUGUUAUGCUGCAGCUCUAGCUUUGUGGAUUCUAUGAAAGAUGAAAUGCAAACACUCUAUGCAGAACUGAGGUUUUUGAGAAGCAUUUUAAGGGAGCAUCAUGCGAUGAUGGAUGAACAAAAUGAAAAAAUUGGAGCUCUCCUUGGUGAGGCAGGCAUUAUAAUAUUCUCGCCCACUCUGAGCAGAGUGAUAGAAGGAGAAGUUAGCUUCUCAGGAUCCACCCAGGUUCUUGAUUUUUGUGAUCUGCUGGCCAAUAUCAAGCAUUUUAAGGAUCAGAUCAGUGGCUCAAGUACUAUAGAGAGUCUUCCUAAUUCCUCUCAUAGCUUAAGAGCACCAGAAGUUAGCCAGACUUCCAGCCGCAUGCUAUCAAAAGGUAAAAUGCCAAUGGACCAUGAAGUCAUGGUUGGUCUUGAUGAUAAGGGAGAACAAGGAAUUGAACCACUUAUCAAGCAUUUUGAGGAUCAGCUCAGUGUCUCAAGUACUAUACAGAGUCUUCCUAAUUCCUCUCAUAGCUUAAGAGCACCAGAAGUUAGCCAGACUUCCAGCCGCAUGCUAUCAAAAGGUAAAAUGCCAAUAGCUCGUGAAAUCAUGGUUGGUCUUGAUGAUGAGGCAGCAAAAGUAAUUGAACGACUUAUAUGGGGAUAUAUGGGGAUCAGAACAGGUGGAAAUUGUUCCCAUUGUGGGAAUGGCUGGGCUUGGUAAGACAACUUUAGCCAAAAAAGUUUACAAUAAUAUUUCAGUAACCUGUCACUUCCACAUUCGUCUUUGGUGCACUGUUUCUCAAGAAUUUAACAUGAAAAGCUUGUUAACACAAAUUUUGUGCUCUGAUGGAAAACACUCUAGGAUGGAUGACUUGCUUGAAAAGCUCCAUCAAAGGCUAUUGAAGAAUCGGUAUCUUGUUGUUUUUGAUGAUGUCUGGGACAUUGAGGUAUGGAAUGAGCUGAGAACUGCAUUCCCCAAUGACAAGAAUGGAAGUAGAAUCAUCUUUACGAGUCGAUCUUCUAAUGUAGCUUCACAGGUUCAAUAUGGUGGAGAACCUCACUAUCUUCACCCACUCAGUGAGGAAGAAAGUUUCGAAUUGCUGCAGAAGAAGGUGUUUGGAGAAGAAGAAGAAUGUCCUCAAGCAUUGCAUGAAUUGGGAAUGGAGAUUGUCAAAAAGUGCUGGGGAUUACCCUUUGCAGUUGUUGUUGUAGCUGGAAUUCUAGCAACUAUAGAGCAUGAUAUUUUGGUUUGGAAAAAGUUUGCUGAAAGUUUUACUUCAACCACGGUGUCUGGUACAGACCAGUGGAAGAAGUUCUUGGAGCUCAGUUAUGAGCAUCUACCAUAUCACUUGAAGGCAUGCUUGCUGUCUUUUGCUGCAUUUCGAGAAGAUGAAAAAAUUCAUGCCAAGAGUUUGAUGCGUCUAUGGAUUGCAGAAGGGUUUGUGGAAAUAAUUGAAGGAAAGAGAUCAGAGGAUACUGCAGAAGAAUAUUUGAUGGACCUAAUUGGCCGAAACCUGGUUAUGGUAAGUAAAAGCAGAUCCAUUGGUGGAGUCAAAACUUGUUACAUUCACGAUUUGAUAUUUGAGUUCUGUAAGGGCGAGGCGAAAGAAAAGAAUUUCCUUCAGGUCCUGCGAGG
rnacentral:lncRNA from 1 species